CCUACGGGGGGCAGCAGUGAGGAAUAUUGGUCAAUGGGCGAGAGCCUGAACCAGCCAAGUCGCGUGAGGGAAGACGGUCCUAUGGAUUGUAAACCUCUUUUGUCGGGGAGCAAAAAGGCCUCGUGAGGCCGCAAGUGGGAGUACCCGAAGAAAAAGCAUCGGCUAACUCCGUGCCAGCAGCCGCGGUAAUACGGAGGAUGCGAGCGUUAUCCGGAUUUAUUGGGUUUAAAGGGUGCGUAGGUUGUUUUUUAAGUCAGCGGUGAAAGUUUGUGGCUCAACCAUAAAAUUGCCGUUGAAACUGGAAGACUUGAGUGUGUUUGAGGUAGGCGGAAUGCGUGGUGUAGCGGUGAAAUGCAUAGAUAUCACGCAGAACUCCGAUUGCGAAGGCAGCUUACUAAGCCAUAACUGACACUGAAGCACGAAAGCGUGGGGAUCAAACAGGAUUAGAUACCCCAGUAGUC
rnacentral:rRNA from 1 species